rnacentral:rRNA from 1 species
GACGAACGCUGGCGGCGUGCCUAAUACAUGCGAGUCGAACGCUUCUUUCCUCCCGAGUGCUUGCACUCAAUUGGAAAGAGGAGUGGCGGACGGGUGAGUAACACGUGGGUAACCUACCCAUCAGAGGGGGAUAACACUUGGAAACAGGUGCUAAUACCGCAUAACAGUUUAUGCCGCAUGGCAUAAGAGUGAAAGGCGCUUUCGGGUGUCGCUGAUGGAUGGACCCGCGGUGCAUUAGCUAGUUGGUGAGGUAACGGCUCACCAAGGCCACGAUGCAUAGCCGACCUGAGAGGGUGAGCGGCCACACUGGGACUGAGACACGGCCCAGACUCCUACGGGAGGCAGCAGUAGGGAAUCUUCGGCAAUGGACGAAAGUCUGACCGAGCAACGCCGCGUGAGUGAAGAAGGUUUUCGGAUCGUAAAACUCUGUUGUUAGAGAAGAACAAGGACGUUAGUAACUGAACGUCCCCUGACGGUAUCUAACCAGAAAGCCACGGCUAACUACGUG